rnacentral:rRNA from 1 species
GAUGAACGCUGGCGGCGUGCCUAAUACAUGCAAGUCGAGCGAACGGACGAGAAGCUUGCUUCUCUUAUGUUAGCGGCGGACGGGUGAGUAACACGUGGAUAACCUACCUAUAAGACUGGGAUAACUUCGGGAAACCGGAGCUAAUACCGGAUAAUAUUUUUAACCGCAUGUUUCAAAAGUGAAAGACGGUCUUGCUGUCACUUAUAGAUGUAUCCGCGCUGCAUUAGCUAGUUGGUAAGGUAACGGCUUACCAAGGCAACGAUGCAUAGCCGACCUGAGAGGGUGAUCGGCCACACUGGAACUGAGACACGGUCCAGACUCCUACGGGAGGCAGCAGUAGGGAAUCUUCCGCAAUGGGCGAAAGCCUGACGGAGCAACGCCGCGUGAGUGAUGAAGGUCUUCGGAUCGUAAAACUCUGUUAUUAGGGAAGAACAUAUGUGUAAGUAACUGUGCACAUCUUGACGGUACCUAAUCAGAAAGCCACGGCUAACUACGUG